AGCAAAACGUUGAGUAAGAGGAGUAAUUAUGCUAGAAGAUCACAGAGAGCCGGCGUUGGUGGGAGUCCGGCAUUGGAAAGCGUAGUGAAUGGGCUUAUGAGUGGGAACUGAAGGAUUUAGUAGGUGACCCGGGUUUCUCCCGUUAUAGAGAUAGGAUAUCGGCUAUGAUACCUGUAUCUGAAAAAGUGGGUUUAAUUUAUGACCAAUUGAGGUGGCACCGCGAUGAUUCGUCCUCUAU
rnacentral:ncRNA from 1 species